GGGAACAUACCCUUUUCUACGGAAUAGCUCUGGGAAACUGGAAUUAAUACCGUAUACGCCCUACGGGGGAAAGAUUUAUCGGGGAAGGAUUGGCCCGCGUUGGAUUAGCUAGUUGGUGGGGUAAAGGCCUACCAAGGCGACGAUCCAUAGCUGGUCUGAGAGGAUGAUCAGCCACAUUGGGACUGAGACACGGCCCAAACUCCUACGGGAGGCAGCAGUGGGGAAUAUUGGACAAUGGGCGCAAGCCUGAUCCAGCCAUGCCGCGUGAGUGAUGAAGGCCUUAGGGUUGUAAAGCUCUUUCACCGAUGAAGAUAAUGACGGUAGUCGGAGAAGAAGCCCCGGCUAACUUCGUGCCAGCAGCCGCGGUAAUACGAAGGGGGCCAGCGUUGUUCGGAAUUACUGGGCGUAAAGCGCACGUAGGCGGAUAUUUAAGUCAGGGGUGAAAUCCCAGAGCUCAACUCUGGAACUGCCUUUGAUACUGGGUAUCUUGAGUAUGGAAGAGGUAAGUGGAAUUGCGAGU
rnacentral:rRNA from 1 species